AUGCACCUUAAAGUUGGUUGCCAUUCGCCAUAUAAAGUCCAAAGAAGAAGAAGAAGCCUGAAGAAGGGAUGACCGAUCAUUGACGUCUGAUGAAGAGAAGAUGGCGGAAACUGAGGUUUUGUUUGAAACUGCUUGUGAGUCGGGUGAAGCUAAUAGUACAGAAAGUGAGGAUGAGUGGGUUACCGUGGCGAAGAAAAAGGGAAAUGAGAAGUAAAGCUGUGGUGGAAAAAAGGAAACCACUAGACUCAUUUUUAGUCGGGGUGAGGGUUUUAGAUCGAUGCUACUUGGGAAUUGCGUUUAACGUCUCGAGGAAAAUCUGGAAUGUGUUGGAGGAAAGUGUGGAGUCUGUGAGAGUCACAAGAAGUGGUCUUAUUUUGAUUUUUUGUGUGUGCUCGGAGCAGAAGAAGCGUGUUUUAAGAUUCAAAAAGAUAUCGGAGUGGAAUAUUUCCUGUAUGGAUUUACGUAUCAGGGCGCCUAUCAAGGGGGUUAUUUCUGGGGUGGCGCAAGAAUUAAAGGCAGAAGAUAUUACUGAAGACAUCAAUUGAGUGGUUGGUGCACGUUGACUGACCUGUAUGGUGGAUGGAGAAAAUAAAUUAACUUCAUCCAUGCUACUGUUCUUUGAUGAAGAGUCUCUCCCUUCGCAUAUGAAGUUUGGAUUCAUGAGAUACCCUAUUAGAGCUUUUGUGCACAAGCCCCUUCAGUGUCAUGAAUGUAAAAGAUUUGGAAAUGUGUCAAGUGUGUGCAGAAGGGAAGAGUAUCGUAUGCCAGAUGAAGUGAAAGGCUGCAACUGUGGAGAUGAACAUGCGCCUGAAUUCCUGGACUGCCCUGUUAGGGUGAAGGAGAAUGAGGUGGUAAGGAGUGUCCAGCGUGUCUCCUAUCUGGAGGCGGUGAGAAGAUUGGAAGGAACGAGUGGCGGGGAAGAAACAAUGGUAGUAGAGUCACCACGACCAGUGAAGGUUUCUCAUCAACUGAGGAAUAGGGAAAUGCUACAUGUUAAAAAGGUGUACUUUGCUAUUUAUUGCAAUGGUCAUAAACUGUACACAGACCCCUGAGCCUGUGUAGGGAUGUAUUUUGGAGUGGACUGUGACUGAGGAAUUGCUGGUAGCGGUAAUGCACCAUUAACAUUGGAUGCCAACCGCCGUUAAACCCAAUCGAAGUAGAAGAAGACUGAAGGAGAAGAGAUUACAAGAAACUAACUAGAGGAAGGGGACGGCUUAGACACAAAAGCAUCUCUCCUCAGGAUGGUGUUUCCUGCUGCACUCUUCCCAACUCCAGUCUUCCCAACCAGAACAAUGCGGAGCUCAUCAUUUUGUCUGAGUUCUGUUGGAUUACAAGGACACUGUUGUUACAGUUGACAGAUCUUCUUCAUGUUCUUCCUGUUAAGACAUCUAGAGCUGCAUUUUCUAGUUUCAUGUUUAUUCUUGAUUCCAAGGACUAGUAUUUAUGGACUGUAAAAUGUUAAUAUGGGCAAAGUUACCAUGACUUUAAAUUCAAUUUAUCAAUUGAACUAUGUAUGUGUGCAUGCAACGUGAAAUUCAGAUUUCUGUGUUUGAAAUCCUAUGUGUAUGUGUGGCUUCAAAACAAUUUAGAUAAUGUGGUGUCGAGAUAACCAUGCUGACAUGCUGCGUUGACAAGGAAUCCGCUGAUACUGUACUUGAUUACAAUGGUUUAUUACAUCAAAGGUUACAGCAUCAAUUUACAAACUUCUGCAGAGUCUGGAGAGUAACUAACCCAAUCUCAAAUAUGUUAACUCUCCCUGUCCCUUUGUUCAAACAUGGUAUAUAUCCUAUGUACCAUAAAAUGGGUGGUUUUGGAUAGACCAAUCCCUGACCUCCACAUAGCCAAGUGUCCUCUGUUUCAGGGGGCCCCUAUAGUAAUGUUUUCCAGAUGCAGAGCAAAGGUCAUCUAACACACAAUAUGAAACCUCAGCCAAAGCUAUAGAAUGUUCAGAUACUCCAAUAAGAAGACACUCUUACAGUGAAAAAUCACAAUCAUUUUCCUGACACUAUGAAAAUUCUACAAAAAAAUAUGUAAUUGUAAAAUCUAGUGUGAAAAAAAUAUUUGGGUGACAUUUUCUGUUCCUAAACAGCCCUCACAAUAACCAAAGUUUCCCCAAAACAGCCCACACAAUAUAGUCUGGUCGAACCAGCCUGAUUGCUGCGUUCACCAUUCUAUUUCACUUCAUGUAUCAGAAUGCUGAAUGCAGCGAUCAGGCUGGUUCGCCCAGACUAUAUUGCAAAGUUUCCCAAAAACCCUUUAAAUAAGCAAGUUUGGAAUGAUGCAGCUUGGGCGAUUGCUGUUCAGUGCUGACAGAACAUUUUACCCUUUAUAUUCCAACCAUACCUGUUCAUCAUCAAAGUGAAGUAUAUUUUAAAAUAUUCCAAAAACUCUUAACAGCACUAUUGUCAAUGAACAAAAAGUAAAAACUAUGCAUUGCAGAACUAUGCAGAAUAUUUAAGAAAACUAAAUGUACCAGGUACAAAGAAUUGCAAAGAAUAAAGAAGUAGGGACUGUAUGAGAGUCUGUCCAGAGAACACCUAUGUCAGUUGCCUUUAUACUGUCAGGCUAUGUGGUGUCUGUCACAAACUCAGCCCCAGGCACUACCAAUGAUGUACAGUAUAUAAACCCUGGAUUGCUGAUGCUAUGUACUGGCCAUUGAGAUGCUUUGAAGCCACCGGCAGGUCAUAUUGACACUCCCCAGUAGGAGCAGUCCUCCAUAGGAAUGAAUGGAAUUCUACAGUAUUUCA